CGCCGCCCCCGCCCGCCUACGGGAGGCAGCAGUGGGGAAUUUUGGACAAUGGGGGCAACCCUGAUCCAGCCAUGCCGCGUGAGUGAAGAAGGCCUUCGGGUUGUAAAGCUCUUUCAGCCGGGAAGAAAAUGCAUGGGUUAAUACCCUGUGCGGAUGACGGUACCGGAAUAAGAAGCACCGGCUACUACUG
rnacentral:rRNA from 1 species